rnacentral:rRNA from 1 species
GUGGGGAAUAUUGGGCAAUGGGCGCAAGCCUGACCCAGCAACGCCGCGUGAGGGAAGAAGGUUUUCGGAUUGUAAACCUCUGUCGCAGAUGACGAAGGAAGUGACGGUAAUCUGUGAGGAAGCCCCGGCUAACUACGUGCCAGCAGCCGCGGUAAUACGUAGGGGGCGAGCGUUGUCCGGAAUUACUGGGCGUAAAGGGAGCGUAGGCGGUCGAUUAAGUUGGAUGUGAAAUACCCGGGCUUAACUUGGGGGGUGCAUCCAAUACUGGUUGACUAGAGUACAGGAGAGGAAAGCGGAAUUCCUAGUGUAGCGGUGAAAUGCAUAGAUAUUAGGAGGAACAUCGGUGGCGAAGGCGGCUUUCUGGACUGACACUGACGCUGAGGCUCGAAAGCGUGGGGAGCAAACAGGAUUAGAAACCCCGGUAGUCC